AGGGUCUGUCGUAGAGGGUCUUGUACGGCUGUUGCUAUCGAGGAUCAUCGCCAAGGAGAGGGAGAGAGGAGAAAAAAGAAAAAAAGAAAAGAAAAUGCUGUGGUGCUGGCGACUGAACUGUAUUACCAAGCACUGGCAACAACACGGCGCGCAGUGUUUGCUCAACCUUCGUAGUGGUAGAACGUACGUCACUUUGCUCUGCACCAUGGCGGGAAAUACCGGUGAAAAGGUCAUUAAUUUGGACAACAUGAAUGCCCAGGUCAAGAAGAUGGAGUACGCGGUGAGGGGGCCGCUGGUCAUCCGCGCCACGGCCAUUGAAAAGGAGUUACAAGCGGGUGCGGAGAAGCCCUUCAAGAAUGUAACUAAGGCGAACAUCGGGGACGCGCAUGCCAUGGGACAAAAGCCCAUCACCUUCCUCAGACAGGUGGUGGCUCUCUGCCUCAUGCCCAGUCUUCUCGAGGACCCCAGCUUCCCUGAGGAUGUCAAGCAGCGGGCACGGGGCAUCCUGGCAGGGUGUCGCGGGGGCUCCCUCGGGGCCUACAGUGACUCCCCGGGCAUCGAGAUCAUCCGCCGGCACGUGGCUGAGUACAUCGAACGGAGGGACGGACACCCGGCCUCCUGGGAGAACGUGGUGCUGUGUGCAGGGGCUUCAGAGGGCAUCAGGGGCACGAUGAAGAUGAUGAUCCAGCACGACAACGGCAUUAAGCCCGGCGUGAUGAUCCCCAUCCCUCAGUACCCGCUCUACUCCGCCACAAUAGCAGAGUUCAACCUCCACCAGAUUGGUUACUACCUGGAUGAGUCCACAAACUGGGGCCUGGACAUGGCUGAGCUGGAGCGUGCCUAUGAUGAGGCCAAGGCUGUGUGUCUGCCCAAGGCCUUGGUGGUGAUCAACCCUGGCAACCCUACUGGUAAUGUGCUGCCUCGAGAGAACAUUGAAGCUGUCAUCAAGUUUGCAUAUGAAAAAAAACUCUUCCUAUUUGCUGAUGAGGUGUACCAGGACAAUGUGUAUGCUGAGGGCUGUAAGUUCCACUCCUUCAAGAAAGUCCUGAUGGAACUUGGAGAGCCAUACUGCCACAUGGAACUUGCAUCCUUCAUGUCCUGUUCCAAAGGUUACAUGGGUGAGUGUGGCCUGCGUGGGGGCUAUGCUGAACUCAUCAACCUUGACCCACAAGUAAAGGCGAUGUACCUCAAGAGCAUUUCUGCCAAGCUCUGCCCCACCACCCUUGGCCAGGCAGUAAUGGACUGUGUGGUCAACCCACCACGCAAGGGAGAGCCAUCCUACGAACAGUUCACAUCUGAAAAGAAUGCCGUUUUGUCAUCCCUCGCACAGCGCGCCAAGAUGGUUGUGGAGACCUUCAACUCAGUGCCUGGCAUGUCCUGCAACAUUGUACAGGGUGCCAUGUAUGCCUUUCCCCAGAUCAAGCUGCCCCCAAAGGCUGUUGAGGCUGCCAAGGCAGUGGGGCAGGCACCGGACGUCUUCUAUGCCUUCCAGAUCCUGGAGAACACCGGCAUAUGCAUUGUCCCUGGCAGUGGCUUCGGACAGCGCCCUGGCACUUACCAUUUCAGGACCACCAUCUUGCCUCAGCCAGAGAUGCUCAAAGCCAUGUUGGAGAAGUUCAGGGAGUUCCACACCAACUUUGUCAACCAGUACCAGUGAGGAGGAGGACAGUGCCUGAUCUUUCGCCUGCCUAUGGGGCCGCGGCGAUCUAGUCGCUCACAUGAGCCCUGGUGUCGUCCUGUGAGGUCUUCACAGGCGCGUCAGCUGCCCCGUCUUCCUGAGGAAGGCGCAGAACCUCCUGUCUGCACCAGCAAGCAUCUUAAAUCUUGAACACACACACACACACACACACACACACACACACACACACACAGUGAAACACAGUUUUGCCUCUACCACCUCCAGCACUAUCUCCACCACCACCACCACCACCACUGUAUACCAGAUGUGCAUUAUUCACUGCCAUUUGUAACGAAUUAACAAUAAUCUGCACCUGUUAUCCACUGCACAAAUUAGUAUGUUUAAUGUUAAACUGAUGGGAAAAUGCUGUCUGUCUGUCUGCUAUGCUGGACCUGCAUGUUUUUUUUUAGUUUGGCGUGUCAUUCGCAACCGUCACUCUUCUGCAUCUUUACUGUGCUUGCCAAUUAGUUCACAAGGUUUGGUUAUGAACCUGUUUUUUUCAAGGCUCAUGAGAUCUAGAAACAAGGUAGGUAGGAAUUUAGUGAACUACUCUAAUUCCUUAUUGUUGUUGAGAUUUUUUCCUUCCUUGAGAUGCUGCUGCAAUGUCUUAAAUAUCACUUUUUGGCAGGAGCUUAACCGUUUUCUUGCACUAUGUUAUGGUGCAGUUCAAUAUUGGUAAAAGCAGCAUUCAAAGUAUAUGAAAAAUAACCCCCUAAGUAACUAUACAGUCGUCCCUCAAAUAGUACGGGGGUUAGGGACUCAGGACCCCCGUACUAUUCGAAAAUCAGUAUAAAAUUAGUGCCCCCCCUAGAAACACUCCAGGCCACUCUUAUGGAAUCCGAGUCCUGCCUGGCUCAGCUGUUACUCACGGGCCCAAGUUACCAGUUAUGCAUUUUCUGCUGCAGUCACAGUGCAGUGUUACCACGCUAGGGGGGGUCAAGUGGGGCGAAGCCCCCCGUUAGAGGUCAGGUUAUUUAAAGUUUGGCUGGAGUAGUUUAAAAAUGCAUCCCAUAACUAUAUAAUAUGGAGGCGUAAUGUCGUAUUUUGAAGGCGCAGAGUCGAUCUUCACAAUUACCAUUUCGUAUCUGAUUUGAAGUACGAUUUAGAAACCAAUAGAAACUGUGGUAGAGAGUAAAAGAGAAUGUAGGUGUAUGCCAUGGCUCGCUCGCUGACAAUGUGGAGACAAUGUGGAAGGGAGCGCUGCCAAGAUGGCAUGCUUGCUCAGCGUGGUAACAUUACAGCAGAAAAUGCAUAACUGGCAACUUUGGCCGGCGAGUAGAAGCUGAGCCAGGCGGGACCUCCGGAUUUCAUAGGAGUGCCCACUCCUGCCCACCAAUUUCUUGUUUAAGGUAAGAAAAUGCCUAUUUAUGUGUUUAUAAUAGGUUCAUUUAUGAACAAACAGAAAAGGACGGCCUUUAUCUCCACUCUUGCAACACUCUUGGAGCACUGGCAGUUACUGCGGCAAGAAUUUUUUCGACAUUAUGAUAGAUACAGCGAACACUGCUCUCAUUCACGUGGUAUGCUCUCCCUACCACAACGUAACUCAUCCCAAAACGUAACUUCUUCUAAAUCUGAAUUCUUCUUCAAGGUGAACACCUUUCUCGAAUGGUGUGGGAUGCUUUCAGCAGGUGUUUUGGUAGAACAGUGUUGCCACUCACCAUGGCUGUUUGAUGCGACAAACGGAAAAUUAAAAAACCUUAAAAAAAUUCUUCCAUGACAGUCCGUAUAAAACUGAAACCGUACUAUUCGAAACCAUACUAUUUGAGGGACGACUGUACAUUGAAUUAGUUUUUGGUCAUUCCAGCUGUGAAAUGGGAUUUGGAUGUGCAUGUGGGUUCUGAUCUUGACCUAGAAAUCACCAUAUUACUGUCAGGAACUGCACCAUUUCUGUUAAUUUUAAUAAUUCAAGAAACAUUAGUACGUACUUGGAGUGCUGAAUUUAUCCUUAAAUUGUAUCUGGCACUGGUUAAGCCCCACUUUCUUCAUGAUGUUCAACACUGGUGCCCUUAUUACAGAAAGGAUGUGGAUUCCCUCAAAUCAGUAGAGAAGAGUGACCAAAAUGAUCUAAGAACUUAGAAAUAUGCUGAACCUAUAAAGCUUAAUUUACAUUCUUUGGAGAGACUUAGACUUUGAGAUGAUUUAUUUGAAGUUAUUACAUGGGUUAAGGGGAUCAGUAAUGGGAUGAAGUACUUGUUCCACAAACUGAUGUUGGGACAUGAGGCAAUAGAUACAAAAUGGAUAAAUUGAAGCUGAGGAAGAAGGUAAACAAAAAACUAGUUGACAAAAAGGACAGUGGAUGAAGGGAACAAAUUAAGGAGAUAUAUAAUUGAUGGAAGCACAAUUGAAAGUUUUAAAAUGGAGGUUAGAUUUAUGGUCAGGGAAGGGAGUUGAUGAACAGCUUGUCCUCAGGAGCCACCAGGUGUAGACUGUUUGUUUGUGCUAUUAACAAUAUAUCUUUUUACCGAUGUAGAAAAAAACUCAAUCAGUACACUCGUUUGAAAAUCAUAAUUGACUGAUAACUUGACAAAUCACUAAUACAGCUUACCAUUGUUGUCAUUGAUGAACAGGCUAGAGGGAAAAAGGUGUUGUCAUACUGAGCACUGCCUUGACAGACUGGUUGAAAGUGAGGUUUGCACUGGUACACUUUCCUCAGUUUAGCUCUGCAUGUGUUGUUUCUGGGUCUGGCUUGAUAGUUUUUUUUUUUAAGCUUUUGAAAGGUCUAUGCAGGACAGAGGGCAGCUGACCUAGUCCACUUCUGGCUUCCACUAAGGUACUGUUACACUUAAGACUGUCACAGGAGGGCUCUUAUUCUAAUAUGCUUGGUCAGCGUGUAAGUAAUAUGUGACAUAUCAAAGGCUCAACUAUUUUAUACACCUAAGAACUGUUUGUAUCAACUAAAGAAAAUUAUUAAUGCAAAUAAAGGACUGUUUGUAUCAACUAAAAAAACUAUUACUGCGAUUCAAGAACUGUUUAUAUCAACUAAAAACUAUUACUGCAACUAAAGGUUCACUAACAAACAACAGUAUUAGUUUCAUACCAUUUUUAGCAAAGUUGAUGUACAAUUGUUUAUUAGCAUUUAAUAACUUUCUUUGUCCUGGGAGUUUUCAUCAUGUAUCUCAUACCUUAAAGAUAAUUAUUGAACAUGCCCAUAAAUGUCAUCAAAAACUAAAUGUCACUUCCUCACAAAUGCUGCUUUGAAGGAACAUUUCCAUGCCUUUGCUUGCCAGACAACACCCAUGAUAGAGCAAGGGAAAGGCAGAGGCUGUCCAUCUCCCUUACCUCAAGUAUACUUGGUCUUGGUCACGUUGAUGUAGCAUGAAAAUUGGGUGGUCCUGUAUUGUUUACAUUUGUCAUGUUGUGUGUAUCCUCAGUGGCGAUUCAACUCGCUGCGAUUGUUUAGCAACUCCUGAAAUGUUAAAACUAAAGUUGUGGCAUGUGAGUCUGCGAUGUGCAUUAUCAUGCUCUGGCAACCUGUUGUCACAAGGCGGGUUCGAUUUUGUGGAUAAUAAUGAUAGACUACGCGUAGGAAACAGUUGUCAGUAGCAAUCCCGUGCAGGAUGACGAAUGCCAUAUAGUUGAUUUUGAGGUUUGAGUUAUUGAUACUGUCACAGAGAGUGGUUUUGUAAAUUCAUAAAGCUGAUUAUAACUAAGCACACCUCAGACUUGGGUGCCACAGCUAUAGUGUCCACCCUACCAAGGUGCCCCAGGGGAACUUCAUAUCAGGCAGUGAAGUACCUAAUGCCAGCAUCCAUGCCAUUGCACCAGCAGCAGCCAGCACUUUUGAUGACAUUGAUUAUAAUUAUCAGCCUUCUUUUGGUGGGCAAUCCAGGAAAGGCAUUGAAUUAUUAGUGAAGAAACAGCAGUAGUAAAUAUAAGGAGAAAUAGUAACAGUUGCUGAAAACCUUUACAGGGAGUUCAGGGUACACUGAUACCUUGAUUUUUUUAAUAGAUAUCAACAGAAAGGAAGCCAUGUUUGAAACUGGUGGGAACCAAAUUUUCAAUAAGGGAAAUAAAUUGCUCGCUGUAAGUAAUAGAAUGUUGUAGAUGGCCCAUGCAUGCUGUAUGCAGAAACUAUAAAAAUAUGAACACUUAAAUUAAGUAGGCACAGACUCGUGUAAAACAGAAUGCAGGUGAUGAGUGAAUGAGGUAAAUAGCUGAUGUGCAAGCUGACAACUGUGUGCAUACUGACAAAUGUGGCGAUGCACUCAGUAAUUCCAGAUGAAUAUAAACUUUCUGUAACCAGCCAGACUCCAUUGCAGUAACUGGUUGCAACAAUUAGCUUACCACAAUGGGAGAUUUAUGCAGGUUAUUCUGCUCCCAAUAAGUUAGGAUUUCUCCCAGUUUUGAACAUGGCUUUCCUCUUUUGGCCUGAAAAUUUGUUAUUACUGUAAAUGCAAAGCACACAUGCUGGCUGGCCUCUGUGUGUUACCAGUGCUGCUCUUCAGGCAGGGCAGCUCACAUCAUUGUGACCGCUGUUCAAAGGCCUUAACUCAUAUAUGGCAUCACAAAGAUGGAUCUGAAUGUGAAAAUUUUCACUGGCUGCAGCUUGACUUCUCAACUUGCUGAGACUUUACAUGUAUCCUUCGUGCUUGUGUAAAAGUCAAAGCCAUACAAAUGUGAUAUGUUCAACUGAUGACUAAACCUAAGAACUCAGAAGAGUAGCAUGCACAUGAAAGUUAACCUAAAGGUGGCCUUAAUUUUUUUUCCCAAAGUCUGACUUUUACACAAGUCUCUACAGUGAUUGUAAUAAAGAAAGUUGGCAGAAAGUCAAGUCUGUGCUUAAAGAACCCCACAUAUAUCAAGGGCAGUCAGUAGGAGUAAAUUAUGUAUACUUAUCAGUGUUCCUAUGGGUGGGUAAAGGUAAUCAGUGCAUUGGUGUUCAGCAAUCCUCCUGGCUGAAGGCUGUCACUGCAACCAUCCCAGUGUUGUGUGGCAGCUCUUGCCUUAGACAAGGGUUGCAUUCCUUGAGAACCUGUGUUAAGUGAACUUUGCUACAUUUAAACAUUAUAUCCCCCAAUAGAUAUGUGGCACAUGAAGGGCUUUGGUUCAUAGUAAGCUAUGGCAUGUGAAGGGAUCUUGGUCCAUAUUGAUAUAGGGAAAUUGUGUAAGGCAAGAAAUAUAUUGGAUUUCUAACAAAGGCAUGAAUUAAAGCAUAAAAUGAGAGGGAACUGCAAUGGCAAGACCAGCAUGAUAAAGGCUGGCCUGUCUCUCUGCCCAGUACCCUGCUGAACCUCAGAGGCUGGAUGAAGUGUUGUUGUGAGUAACACAGGAGGCACAACAGAGAGAUUGAAGACAGUGCCUUCUGCGGUGCUACAUUUCUAAUACUAUGUAUUUUCAGCAUGACAUAAGCUUAAAGUGCUGGAUAUCGGGUAUGGCAAUACAUAUUCUCUCUCUCUCGGGUCAUAACUCUUUCACAGUCCCAAGGGGUAACAGAUGGGCUGAAAGGUUUUAAGGUCACCCCUUGUGCCAUCUUCAUGAUAUAUUUAGUCGUAUGUAAACAAAGUAGCCUGUGUCUCGUAAAUAGUUACAUGUAUCUGUGUAGCCACUUGCCUCCCUCCAUUCACCUACCGCUGCAGCUGUGGUCAUGGUGAUGUCAGCAGCUAUGACACACAUCUUCAAUGUUUCACAGCUUAUAUAGGUACUUAAGUGACAUAAAUAAUGAUACUAGGUGUUUGGAAAGCCAUUCUGGCUGUAGUGUUGUUUAACUUCACAUGCAAAACUGUUUGCAUCACCACACUUGGCUGCAGAAUUAUGUGAAUGUAACAACGGGUACAAACACAACUUAAGACUGUAGCUCGUUGAGUCAUCGUCUUAUCUACAUAUCACAAAAAAUGUCCAGUAAUUUCCAUCCAAACCACUAUAUUUUAACCGUAUUCCUCAGCAAUUGUGUGCUCUGGUCAUGCUUGCUUCAAGGUUUGGCCACUCACUACAUGUAAAAGUGGCUCAAAUUUUGACCACAAAGCACUAAGUUUCAUAUCUGUUGAACCAUUUCAGAAUAACAAGGUUGUAAGCCCCAAUUUGUAAAGAUGAGAAAACUGUUGAAAUUCAUUUCAUCCUUAGCUUAAGAUUUAUUGUUAUGAAAUGCUGUUUUGAACUUGUUACAUUACUAAUGCCUCAAGUCACCUCCAGAAGGCCACAAGGCAGGACAUGUUGAUAUACACACACACACGCACACCUGAUGAGACCAAAAUUGGAAUAUGCGGAGGCAGUGUGGUCUCCCCAUAAGAAGAAACACUUAAAGAAGCUAGAAAGAAUACAAAGGAUGGCAACAAAAAUGGUUCCAGAGUUGAAGGGAUUGACAUAUGAGGAAAGACUAAAGGAAAUGGACUUAACAACACUAGAACAAAAAAGAGAAAGGGGAGACCUAAUACAAAUCUAUAAAUUAUAGAGCAAAAUGGAAGAAGUAGAUAAUGAGGAGUUACAACAAAAAGAAGGAAUUACCUCCAUGAACACAAGAGGACAUAGUAAAAAAUUGAGGAAGGGAAGAUGCUUGAGAGACAAAGAAAUAUAGCUUUCCGCAAAGAAAUAUAGAGGUUUGGAACAGACUAAGUGAGGAUGUAGUAUUGGCGAGGAGUGUGCAAAGCUUUAAAGAAAAGUUGGAUAAAUGCAGAUACGGAGACGGGACCACAUGAGCAUAAAGCCUAGGCCCUGUAAAACUACAACUAGGUAAAUACCUCUGCAAGACAGGAGGACUCAAUAGUCUGGUGCUACUACAAUUUUUUUUGUUUUGGCCGUGGUGGUGCUGGCAACCUUGUUUUUCUAAGACUCAACUGUAUAUGGAUUACAUAAAAAAUGUUAUACACCUUAGUAAAAAAUCUGGGCACCUGAAGAGCAAUAUGUUGAAAAAUAAGUGUGCAGUGUACAUACAUAUAACACAUGCACUUAUGUAAAAGUCAACCUUGCAAGGCUUGUAUUUGUUCAAUUUUGGAAUAAAUUUAACUUCUUUGAAAGUCACAUCCAUGUUAAUCAACUCACUAAACUUGUCCUGUAAAAGAUCAUGCAAUAGAUUUGACUUUUACAUAAGUGUACACAGUACUACUGAUAGACUGAUGUGGCAAGACUACAAGAGUGGCACGUCAUAGUAGUGACUAUAAGAGUAACAGAGGUGGCUAAAAUUAUGUUGUCUUAGAAAGUAAAUCAUCUGUGAUUGUUGGUUUGUGAUAAAUGUCAAACUAGGAUAUUGUAAUGCAAUUAUUUUUACAGUGUAAUUUACUCUGAAAAUGUUAAUUGUGUCAGCAUGAUGACUUAUGUAGUCACCCUAUUACCAAAGUGAUGGAGGAGAAAAAAGCUAGUUCGAUUCUAAUAAUUAUGAUAUUAAUAACAAGCAAAAGAAUUGUUACCUCUUACCAGAUAUUGUUUUGUUGGUGAAGACAGGAAAGUGAUGUGCUGUUUUCCAUGGUAGGCAGUGUUGCACAGCACAGUCAGCAGGAGUGGUGCUCUCACUCUGGCUUCUGGCAGGGCCACAAGAUGGGUGGCUUCUCGGAAAAAGUGCUAUUAGUAGGCUCAAGAUAACAGGGUUCUUACAAUCGUGGAAAGUCUGGAAAAUCUUUAAAAGAAAUUAGUUUUCUUCCAAGCCUGAAAAAGCAUGGAAUGUCACUAAUUUAGGAAAAUGUCAUGAAAUGUAAGAAAUUUAUAAUAGGAAGAAAUAGUAGAGCUCAUGGGGUUUAUAUACAGAAGAAAGUGUCAAAUGGUGACAUUGAUUAACAUUGGUGUCUGUGAUGGACAGUAGUCUUAAAUGGCUGUGUGGUGACUGUGUACAGUAGAUGCCUGAACAAGCUGCAUACCACACAUCUCAGGCUUCUAUACUGAAAACAGUAACUGUGUUUUUCUUGAAAAAAAAAUUAUUAUGAUUUUAGUCAUCUUUGAUGAGUUGGAACCUUGUAAUAAUACUGGAUAACCCAACACCAAACCAUAAAUAUUUAUUGUUUAAUAAAUGCACAGUACUUAAACAGCUCACAGCCACCAAAGUGGAGAAAGAAAUAUCUUUUACUUACUGUUGUUAGCCCCACCACGGGGCUUUCACAUCAAGGAAAGAAAAUACAACAAUGUCUUGAUAAAAAGAUGGAAGUGCUCUUUUAGCUAACUGUAUCUGUGUGAGUAAAAAAUAUGUAUGUACAUGUAAAAUAAUGAAACACCACAUCACCUUUUGUUUUAGUACUUUACAGUUGAAAGGGAAUACAAAAGGUUUGCCUGAAUAAACAAGGAAAAUCAA